rnacentral:rRNA from 1 species
GGGUUGUAAAGUACUUUCAGCGGGGAGGAAGGUGAUAAGGUUAAUACCCUUAUCAAUUGACGUUACCCGCAGAAGAAGCACCGGCUAACUCCGUGCCAGCAGCCGCGGUAAUACGGAGGGUGCAAGCGUUAAUCGGAAUUACUGGGCGUAAAGCGCACGCAGGCGGUCAAUUAAGUCAGAUGUGAAAGCCCCGAGCUUAACUUGGGAAUUGCAUCUGAAACUGGUUGGCUAGAGUCUUGUAGAGGGGGGUAGAAUUCCACGUGUAGCGGUGAAAUGCGUAGAGAUGUGGAGGAAUACCGGUGGCGAAGGCGGCCCC